AGUUGAGGCAACUGGAGAAGGUAUUCGUGUCCUCUCAGUAUCCUGACAGCUCCAUCUUGGAGGAUCUCUCCAACACCAUCAACAUCGACGUAGAGAGACUAUCGAUCUGGUUCCAGAACCGCCGUUCCAAGUUCAAGCGUCAGUCUAAAGGUGCUCACGUGAACUGGAUGAGACAGCAACUGUAUCAACAAGGAACGUCACGGUCACGUGACGUAACGGCUACGGACGAGUGUCACGUGCUCACACCACCAACGACUUCCAAGAAAGAUGACGUGAAAGACAAACCCAAAUCAAACCUCCACUACCUACCCAGCACUGGACCCGGCUGCUCCUCAGUGACGGACUACGACCCC